UACAGAGGUCUCGAGCGUUGUUCGGAUUCAUUGGGCGUAAAGGGUGCGUAGGUGGCUAGGUAAGUCGGAUGUGAAAUCCCUGAGCUUAACUCAGGAACUGCCGUGGAUACUAUCAAUCUUGAAUAUCGUUGAGGUAAGCGGAAUAUGUCAUGUAGCGGUGAAAUGCUUAGAUAUGACAUAGAACACCGAUAGCGGAGGCAGCUUACUAAGCGAUUAUUGACACUGAGGCACGAAAGCGUGGGGAUCAAACAGG
rnacentral:rRNA from 1 species